GGUAAGCCCAGAAUGGGAAGGACUGCAGGUAGAGCAUCUGCUUUGCAUUCAGAAGGUCCCAGUUUCAAUCCCUGGCAUCUCCA